rnacentral:sRNA from 1 species
ACUUAGCUCAGUUCAGCCAAUCAGGAGUGUUUUUAUAAUUCCCCGCUUGUUGAUGUUUAGAUCACUGGUCAUGCACAUCAAACUCAAUAUUGUCUUUCUAUUUAUCUGAUUGGCCAGAGGAAUCCAUGUGUCAGCAUAACAGACAAGUUAACUUGUUUGACAUUUGUAGAUCAUGAUAUUAUCUGUGAUGGAUAACUUGACAAAGUGAAGAAUGCUCAAAAUGAUAAUGGAAAGGCUAGAGUAAUUUUCUGUUAUUUCUUCUAUGACGAUAACCCUCACCUUUUCAAACAUUUUUUUUGUGGGGUUGGGGAAGGAGGCAUGUUGAAAUCACCAUGUCCAUCUAUCUAAGAUCUCUUAAACAUCUUCACGAUUUAUUAAUUUCCGAUCCUCAACCAUGUUCGAUAAAUCUAAAUAUCCAGAUUUUUUUUUUAUUUGUACCAUAAAUCUGUCUUUUAUAUAGACAAAUUUAAUUAGUUUUCUUGUGUUAAUAUUAUGUUCAGUUAUUCAAUGAGAAACUUGGCUUAGUGGUUGCACUGAGAACUAUUGCAUGUAGGUAAAGGAGAUUGAGCCACCGAUGAAACGACAUAACCUUUUGUUUUUAAAUUUGAUCUCAACUUCUAUAUUUAUUCCAUUAUAUUCACAUCUCCCGAGUAUGAUUCCCUCUAUUUUUUAUGGAAGCUAAUAGUUAAUUCACAGCUCUAUAUAAAAACAGCCAGUCGUGAGACUAAAUUCUACACACCCUGUUUAGUAAUUUAGUUAAUUUUACUUAAUUUUUACAAUCAAUUUCUUAAUUUGUUAAAGGAAAGAUGUACAUACAAACAAUAAAAUGCUUUAAUUGAGGAUUCAUGCGGGUUAUAAAGGUAGCGAUCAUUGCAGAAAAAAAUUUACAUUACCCGUUUUAGCGAGUUGUUACCCUCAUGUCCCACAUGAAUCACUUAAGAAAGCAUUUUAUUGUUUAAAUAUCCAUCGGGGAAAAAUUUGCAAUAACUUUGAAAAAUGUAUAGAUAUCAUGAAUAAAUUUCUUUUUAUCAUUUAUAUAACGUUAAAGUUUGAAGGAUAAAUAACGUUUUUAUGAUGGAAAAAAAUACUCUGAGGCUGAGGGUCGGAGAACAUUAAAGAUGUCCAUUGUUGUUACAUACCUACAAGUGAUAACGUUUUUCACUCGUCACUGGUGUCCACCCUUGGCUACUUGACAAUGAUUGUUUGCAAGGAUUUUCAAAAAGAUGGUUAGGGUUAGGAUUUACAACUUUUCUUUUCUAUGCAGUUGUUUAAUAGUUUAUAGACCGUUUUCAAAGAAUUUGUGACAUGAUAUUUCACUGAGACUAAUGAAUGUACAAAUUUAGGAGGAGAUAUUUCUGUCUAUCCCUGUCAGUCUUUCCACUCAACAGUUCAUACAACUUUACUAUCUAUUCAAGAACUUAUAUGAGAAGAAAUAUCAGAGGCUCAUACUUGGCAUAAACUCUGCUUAUGAUGUAAGAGUUUGACAUGACCUUUAUGUGAGGUCAAAGACCAGUUGUCAUAUUAAGUGUGGGUAUUAUUAUUAAACUAUUUUGUAUGCUGGUUAAAGAAGAAAGUUGUUAAUCAUGCUUCUGAAUUGUUUUUAUCCACUAACUGUUUUUUUCUGAAAUCAUUAAAUCUGACCAUUAAUUAAUUAAUGCAAAGGGAUGUUUACUCAGAGUUUGACCAGUCAGUAUGGUGAGCUCGAAAGUCAUACUUAGUAACAAAUACUAGAUAUCAGAGUGAAUUGUAAAUUGACUGCAAUCAUGAUUUUAUUCAUAUUUUUUAAAGUAUGAUUUCAAUAUUCCAAAUGAGCUAAGAAAACUUGUAGGGAGAGGGCAAAAUUUCAAAGUUUUUAUAACUUGUGCCCAAUCCAUUCUUAACGAUUUAUUACAAUAAAAUAUGUUUAAAUCAAAUCAGGUAAUAAAAAGCAAAACUAUGGUAAAUUAUGCUCAAAACUCAAUAGGGUCAAAUUUUCUUUAAUUUGUCUGUAGUUUAAAGUUAAAAUAAGUACAGGAAAGAUUUUAAAGUAACUGAUAAAGGGGUUAUAAUCAAUGUUUAAAAAAAACCUUAUAAAUGAAAACAAGGUUGUUAUAAUAGGCCUGUACAUACAGAAUAUGCCAUAUACUUCAUAGGGAUAUUUUGUAUUUUGUUUCUGGAGAAUAUUACUAAGGCUUUCCAAAUUUAUUCAAUUUUGAAGUCUUAUACGUGAUAUUUCACAAACUUUUGAGAAAAGGCAUUUGUGAAAAAUAUAAAUUUGAUUUUUGUGUAAAAUGUGAAAUAUUGAAGAAAGGUACAUGUACAAUGUUAUAAUGAUUAUCAGUGGUACCGUAAUAUGGCUUCAAUAAUUUUCAAAGCAAAGUGAACUAUUAUGGAGUUAUUAAUUUUAUUUUGUCGAAAAUGAAUUUUUUUAUUCGAAAAAAUCCUUGACAAAUGUCAUUCAUUUUUUACCGCUCAUUGUUUGUAGAUGAGCAUCAUAUUGUUAUUAGGAAUGUAAACUUUUGUUUUUAACAUUUGUUUUUUUUUUUAAUUACAUAUUCUUUGCCAUGUUUUACUGUUAUUAUGGAUUGCACUUAAUCCAGCUUUUGUUGUGUGUUGAAAAGUAAAGAGGAGGAAACUU